CGAAACAGUUGCGACGCCGUCGUCGCCGUCAUGUCUUUACAAACUGUCAAACUCUGAAGUAAAUCAUCACAAAGGUAGUCAUGGAUCAGCCUAUUUGAUCUCUGUGGGAAAAAAGAAGAGUGGACUUCAAAUCAGGUGAGUCACAAUGUGGGAAAAAAGAAGAGUGGACUUCAAAUCAGUUCCAUCUUCAGCUGCUCCAGGAACUCACUGUGCUCAUCAUCCAGCCAAGCCUCUUCCAGCUAAGAAUUGAACAAAGAGGGAAAGCAUAUGGAGAGAGAGAGGGUUUGUUGCCAGUAAAGACCUACUGAUUCAGGGUCACUGCUGAUAUAAAUAUCACAGUUUUCUACCAAUCAUCUGUCAAUCCCUUGGUGACAUCAAGACUCCCAGAAGUCACUGUGCUUGCAGCAAAAGCAGCAGGAACCGGGGAGAGGAAAUCCGUCCCUUCAUAGUAAUCCUGGUCCAUUGUAUGGAGAGAAUGACAGCUGUCAGUGGAGACGGAGGGAACGACAGACAGGGAGGGAGGCAGAGAAAGGGAAAGAGGCGGAAGAGCUGGGCAUUAGCAAAAUCCUUUUCUUUUAAAUGUGUCAAUACCUCGAAGUGACAGGAUUUCCUUGCCUUUGUCUUUGCUGGAAUCUGAAGAAUAAAGGA